GAUGAACGCUGGCGGCGUGCCUAAUACAUGCAAGUCGAGCGAACGGACGAGAAGCUUGCUUCUCUGAUGUUAGCGGCGGACGGGUGAGUAACACGUGGAUAACCUACCUAUAAGACUGGGAUAACUUCGGGAAACCGGAGCUAAUACCGGAUAAUAUUUUGAACCGCAUGGUUCAAAAGUGAAAGACGGUCUUGCUGUCACUUAUAGAUGGAUCCGCGCUGCAUUAGCUAGUUGGUAAGGUAACGGCUUACCAAGGCAACGAUGCAUAGCCGACCUGAGAGGGUGAUCGGCCACACUGGAGCUGAGACACGGUCCAGACUCCUACGGGAGGCAGCAGUAGGGAAUCUUCCGCAAUGGGCGAAAGCCUGACGGAGCAACGCCGCGUGAGUUAUGAAAGUCUUCGGAUCGUAAAACUCUGUUAUUAGGGAAGAACAUAUGUGUAAGUAACUGUGCACAUCUUGACGGUACCUAAUCAGAAAGCCACGGCUAACUACGUG
rnacentral:rRNA from 1 species